rnacentral:rRNA from 1 species
UACGUAGGGUGCGAGCGUUAAUCGGAAUUACUGGGCGUAAAGCGUGCGUAGGCGGUCCGCGAAGUCUGAUGUGAAAGCCCCGGGCUCAACCUGGGAACUGCAUUGGAAACUGACGGGCUCGAGUGUGGCAGAGGGGGGUGGAAUUCCAGGUGUAGCAGUGAAAUGCGUAGAGAUCUGGAGGAACACCGAUGGCGAAGGCAGCCCCCUGGGCUAACACUGACGCUCAUGCACGAAAGCGUGGGGAGCAAACAGG